rnacentral:rRNA from 1 species
AGUGAACGCUGGCGGUAGGCCUAACACAUGCAAGUCGAACGGCAGCACAGUAAGAGCUUGCUCUUACGGGUGGCGAGUGGCGGACGGGUGAGGAAUACAUCGGAAUCUACUUUUUCGUGGGGGAUAACGUAGGGAAACUUACGCUAAUACCGCAUACGACCUACGGGUGAAAGCAGGGGAUCUUCGUACCUUGCGCGAUUGAAUGAGCCGAUUUCGGAUUAGCUAGUUGGCGGGGUAAAGGCCCACCAAGGCGACGAUCCGUAGCUGGUCUGAGAGGAUGAUCAGCCACACUGGAACUGAGACACGGUCCAGACUCCUACGGGAGGCAGCAGUGGGGAAUAUUGGACAAGGGGCGAAAGCCUGAUCCAGCCAUACCGCGUGGGUGAAGAAGGACUUCGGGUUGUAAAGCCCUUUUGUUGGGAAAGAAAAGCAGCAGGUUAAUACCCCGCUGUUCUGACGGUACCCAAAGAAUAAGCACCGGCUAACUUCGUG